GACGAACGCUGGCGGCGUGCCUAAUACAUGCACGUAGAACGAGUUGCGAAAGGGUGAGUAACGCGUGGUAACCUGCAUCAUAGCGGGGGAUAACUACGGGAAACGGUAGCUAAUACCGCAUACCAUCGGAUGUGCCCAGAUGGGAUGAGCUAGUAGUUGGGGUAACGGAUCACCUAGGCGACGAUCCCUAGCUGGUCUGAGAGGAUGACCAGCCACACUGGAACUGAGACACGGUCCAGACUCCUACGGGAGGCAGCAGUGGGGAAUAUUGCACAAUGGGCGCAAGCCUGAUGCAGCCAUGCCGCGUGUAUGAAGAAGGCCUUCGGGUUGUAAAGUACUUUCAGCGAGGAGGCGUUACUCGCAGAAGAAGCACCGGCUAACUCCGUGCCAGCAGCCGCGGUAAUAC
rnacentral:rRNA from 1 species